CGCUGGCGGCGCGUCUUAAGCAUGCAAGUCGAGCGGUAAGAUUGGUGCUUGCACUAAUCCUAGAGCGGCGGACUGGUGAGUAACGCGUGGGUGACGUACCUCUGUGACGGGGACAGCUCCUAGAAAUAGGAGAUAAUACCGGAUACGCUGCAUGUUGUCAGAGGACAUGCAGGAAAGGAUCUUUUGAUUCGCACAGAGAGCGGCCCGCGUACUAUUAGCUGGGUUGGUGGGGUAACGGCCCACCAAGGCGACGAUAGUUACCCGGCCUAAGAGGGUGAUCGGGCACAUUGGGACUGAGAUACGGCCCAGACUCCUACGGGAGGCAGCAGCUAAGAAUAUUCCGCAAUGGACGAAAGUCUGACGGAGCGACGCCGCGUGGAUGAUGAAGGCCGGAAGGUUUGUAAAAUCCUUUUAUGACUGAGGAAUAAGUGAAGUGAGAGAAACGCUUCAUGGUGACUGUAGGUCAUGAAUAAGCAACGGCUAAUUACGUGCCAGCAGCAGC
rnacentral:rRNA from 1 species